UGUGGGAGCGAGCCUGCUCGCGAUGGCGUCGGCCCGGUCGACAUUUGCGUUGAAUAUUAGUCCGCUAUCGCGAGCAGGCUCACUCCCACA
rnacentral:misc_RNA from 1 species